AACGAACGUUAGCGGCGCGCUUAACACAUGCAAGUCGAACGAGAAAGUCCUACGGGAUGAGUAGAGUGGCGCACGGGUGAGUAACACGUGGGUGACCUACCCUCUGGAGGGGAUAACAUCUGGAAACGGAUGCUAAUACCGCAUAAGUCGGCUCUAUGAACGAGUCGGGAAAGGUGGCUUCGGCUACCACCAGGGGCAGGGCCCGCGACCCAUCAGCUAGUUGGCAGGGUAAAGGCCUACCAAGGCGACGACGGGUAGCUGGUCUGAGAGGAUGACCCAGCCACACUGGAACUGAGACACGGUCCAGACUCCUACGGGAGGCAGCAGUGGGGAAUAUUGCGCAAUGGGCGAAAGCCUGACGCAGCGACGCCGCGUUGAGUGAUGAA
rnacentral:rRNA from 1 species